ensembl:snRNA U6 U6 spliceosomal RNA
GUGCUUACUUUGGCAGCAUUUACAGUAAAAUUAGAAUGAUACAGAGAAGAUUAGAAUGGCCCCUGCAUGAAGAAGCACAUUUGUGAAGCAUUCCACAUUUUU